rnacentral:rRNA from 1 species
UACGGAGGGUGCGAGCGUUGUCCGGAAUUACUGGGCGUAAAGGGCUCGUAGGCGGCCAACUAAGUCAGACGUGAAAUCCCUCAGCUUAACUGGGGAACUGCGUCUGAUACUGGAUGGCUUGGAUUCGGGAGAGGAAUGCGGAAUUCCAGGUGUAGCGGUGAAAUGCGUAGAUAUCUAGAGGAACACCGGUGGCGAAGGCGGCAUUCUGGACCGACAUUGACGCUGAGGAGCGAAAGCCAGGGGAGCAAACGGG